CCUACUUCUCUCCGAUCCUUUCGCAUCCACCGCCUCCAUCUCGGCGGCGUCGCCAGAAACGCUUCGCCGUCGAUUCGCAUGGAUCCAUAAAAGGCUUGGCUCUCCCAUCCGUCGUCGCCCCAUCGCGUUGUCCCUAGAGAGGAAGCAAGGCACAUGACCGCCGUCUCCGGGUGGGACGACGAGUCUGUCCUCCUCGAUGUGAUGGUCGCUGAGGCCACCCUCGCCUGUGAGUCCCAUCGCAAGAGGCAGGCCUCCACCUGCUCCAACGAUGACGGCACCGGAUCCAACACCAAAUACGGAGAUACAGUUGACAGGGCUCCUCUCUUCCACGAUGCGAAGGUGUACUUAGCAAUGGUGCAAAUCAUGCCCAUCCACGAGAUCUUGGCCUCAUCGCCGAUUGAGAAGAUGACGUUGCAAAUAUUUCAGACUUGUAGAGCCCUCGAGCACCUCCAUCUCUUGUUCAGUUGCUUAUAUUAGUCAUAUGUUCCCUAUGUUUAAAUUUGAUAGUAGAUUGAGGCAACAUAUAAACUUCAGGUCAAAAUAAGAAGAGAUAAAGGAAGAACAAUCAAAUGAGAAACCUUUUCAGUCAGUAUAGAAUGACAUCUUUUUUCUUUCAGUUCAGGUUCAGCGACACAUGCAUGUAAGAAUACAUUGCAGACUAAUCUUUGUUGUGGCCUGAGUGUGAAUUAUUUUAUUUUUGAAAAAAAACAGACCACCAAGGAGCCACCUUCCUCCAAUGGUGUGGUGCAAAAACAACAACAUGGUCUACACAGUAGUGCCUCUAACGCAAGGACACAGGCAGGCGUCAUAGAGUAUCAUUGAGGAAAUUAUAUCUCUGUUAUUAAAUGGUGUGUUUAAUUUGUUCUCGAUCCCAGUUUAAUCUAUUGAUUGUAUAUUAGAAACUAACUCAUGCAAAUCAUGGCGUGCAUGGAUCGGCUAUUCGGCUCUUGCUCAGUAAGGAUGCUUCUCUUUUCUUAUAUCUAUGAUCCUAUACUAGAUGCUACUGUGAUUGAUAUGGGAGGUGCAUUUUUUUUGCAUAUUUGCCUGUACAUCUGCUUUGAGCUGAUCAGCCUUGUGGACACAGGUAAUUUAUAAUUGUGAAUUUCCAAAAAAGGAUGGCUGCAUGAAUUCUAUGCAAAAAGAAGAAAUAAAAAAAGUUCCCUUGGUUCAUUCUGUUUGUGUCUGUGUGCUGCAACGGUAGGGUGUCAGUUCCUUCCUGUGACUCACGCAAUUCAUUUUGUAUGCUAAUUGCAUGUCUAAAGUGCUUUCUUCUGCCAUAGAAAGUGUUGUUUAGUAAAUGAUCCUUGAAUUUGGUAUUUUUUAUGUUUAGUUUCGAAGGAGCCUGUUAAAUACCCUGGCCAAAUGGACCACAAAAGCUUAUUUGCAAUGUGCAUGUCCGCUUCUUGCACAUUUGCUUAUAUACAAGACCGGAGUACUAUGAUUUUCGUCGCUACUUUGAUUGUGCUUUGAGUAAAAAAGGUUACAAAAAUAAUGUGUUUGGUAGGGAACAUAGCGAUAAAUAGUAACAAAAGAAUUAAAUGCACAUUGCUGAUCGCUUUAUAUGUUAUGAUUAUAAAUUUACAUUCAAUUAAACUAUUAGAGAGUACAUGGAAAAAAAGCAAGCAACAAUAGAAAAAUGGUAUUAAUAGGAGAACAAUUACUAAGUGGUGGCGGUAGGGUCAGCUGGUGCGGUUCUGCCAUCAGGUGUACUCAAUUCUUUCAUAAGAGGUAGCUUGUUCUACAUCACCACAACAUCACAGGAAUGUAAAUUAGAAGACAUAAAAAGGACUAUAGGCCUUAGUUCAAUGGGUAAUCAACAUACAAAUAAAUCUUAUCUACAGAGAUAGACAUGUGAAUUGGUCUCUUGAGAAGGUGAGUUCUUUUGCUAGAUGGAAAAUCUAGCAUCAUUCUGCCCUUUUUUACACAUAAGAGGUUUAUGAGCAAAUCAUCACCAUGUACGAAAUUAUCUUUUCUUUCGUUAUUUUCUGGUCAGUAGGGAGGUAAAGGAAGUGGUCAGCAUGACUAUGUCUCUCACUGAAUUCCAUAUGGUGGUAACUAGCAACUUAAUGUAUGCCAACGAUAGAAAAAAUGCCUUUGAAUCAUAGCACUGAUACCUCUCACCACACUAUGUACAGCCAAGGGUUUUGCUUGCCCCAACAUCCCCAUUUUUGGCAAAGAACACUACUGGAACAAAAUCAUAUUCAGGCAAAAAUAUUUACGGUGUCUUAGGAGUCAGAAUAGUGUGUCCUACUUACCAUUACAAUUUACAUGCAUGUUUAAAUAAAAAGUCUACCUUCACGUCAUCAGUAUUGGCUGUAGGUCGUUCCACUAUCAUGUACUCAUAGUUUGGCUGUUGAAACUUCUUUUUUUGCUUGUUAUUUUUAGGCACUAUGUUCGGGGAGCCUAUUAUAUGCAAAAACAUUCCAAGACUUGUUCUAGUAACAGGUGAUGGUUGCAUGGUGCAACAAGAACUUGAAGGACUGGACCAAGACAAGUGCAGGAUAGAUAGUAUACGAGUUUAUUCUAUGGGCCAAUGGUGAUCAUGAUUAGGCAUCAGUGUUGCAAACCUGUCUUCUCUCUACCCACCUUUGCUCUUUAUUUUCUUUGCUUCCGUUCAGCCCAGGAGCUUGAUUCUCACGUUUUUACAUG